rnacentral:rRNA from 1 species
AGCAGCCGCGGUAAUUCCAGCUCCAAUAGCGUAUAUUAAAGUUGUUGCAGUUAAAAAGCUCGUAGUUGAAUUUCGGAAUCAGUAUGUCGGUCGUGCCUCCGGUAUGUACUGGCGUCACUGGUUCCUCCCUUCUGACGAACCAUCAUGCUAUUAAUUUAGUGUGGUGGGAAAUCAGGACUGUUACUUUGAAAAAAUUAGAGUGUUUAAAGCAGGCUCACGCUUGAAUACAUUAGCAUGGAAUAAUGAAAUAGGACGUUGAUCCUAUUUUGUUGGUUUCUAGGAUUGACGUAAUGAUUAAUAGGGAUAGUUGGGGGCAUUAGUAUUCAAUUGUCAGAGGUGAAAUUCUUGGAUUUAU